UACGUAGGGGGCGAGCGUUAUCCGGAUUUACUGGGUGUAAAGGGGGCGCAGACGGCCAUGGCAAGCCCGGUGUGAAAGGUGCGGGCACAACCCGCAGACUGCACUGGUAACUGCCUGGCUGGAGUGCCGGAGGGGUAAGCGGAAUUCCUGGUGUAGCGGUGAAAUGCGUAGAUAUCAGGAGGAACACCGGUGGCGAAGGCGGCUUACUGGACGGCAACUGACGUUGAGGCCCGAAAGCGUGGGGAGCGAACAGG
rnacentral:rRNA from 1 species